UUGACAGAAGAGAGUGAGCACACGGCGUGAUGGUCGGCAUGACAUAUAUCCCGUCCUCGCCGCGUGCUCACUCCUCUUUCUGUCAC
rnacentral:pre_miRNA from 1 species